rnacentral:rRNA from 1 species
UACGGAGGGUGCAAGCGUUAUCCGGAUUCACUGGGUUUAAAGGGAGCGCAGGCGGACAUGUAAGUCAGUGGUGAAAUACCUGAGCUUAACUCGGGAACUGCCAUUGAUACUAUGUGUCUUGAAUAUUGUUGAGGUUUGCGGAAUGGGUCAUGUAGCGGUGAAAUGCAUAGAUAUGACACAGAACACCGAUUGCGAAGGCAGCUCACUAAAUUGUAACUGACGCUGAGGCACGAAAGCGUGGGGAUCAAACAGG